rnacentral:rRNA from 1 species
UCGGGAAUCUUGCACAAUGGGCGAAAGCCUGAUGCAGCAACGCCGUGUGAGCGAGGAAGGCCUUAGGGUCGUAAAGCUCUGUUGUUGGGGACGAAGGGCGAAGGGUUAAUAGCCCCUAGCCUGACGGUACCUCGCUAAAAGCACCGGCUAACUCCGUGCCAGCAGCCGCGGUAAUACGGAGGGUGCAAGCGUUAUCCGGAAUCACUGGGCGUAAAGGGCACGUAGGCGGUCUAGUAAGUCCGAUGUUAAAGCGUGGGGCUCAACCCCAUCACGGCGUUGGAUACUGCUAGGCUUGACGACUGGAGAGGUGAGUAGAAUUACCAGUGUAGCGGUGGAAUGCGUAGAUACUGGUAGGAAUACCCAUUGCGAAGGCAGCUCACUGGACAGUACGUGACGCUGAGGUGCGAAAGUGUGGGGAGCAAACCGGAUUAGAUACCCGCGUAGUCC